CAUGAGGGACGCAACCGCAGUGAAAGCGAGGCUGAACAGGCCGUUUAGUCUGUGGGGGUAGACGCGAAACCAAGUGAUCUACACUUGUCCAGGUUGAAGUCCCGGUAACACGGGAUGGAGGACCGAACCAAUAAGCGUUGAAAAGCUUCUGGAUGAGAUGAGUGUAGGAGUGAAAGGCCAAUCAAACUUGGAGAUAGCUCGUACUCCCCGAAAGGCAUUUAGGUGCCGCGUCGGACGUUCAGCGUGAGAGGUAGAGCGACCGAUAGGACAAGAGGGCUUCACCGCCUAUCGAGUCCUGACGAACUCCGAAUGCUCACGCUCCGCAGUCCGGCAGUAAGGGGACGGGUGCUAAGGUCCGUUCCCGAGAGGAGAAGAAUCCAGACCGCCGUCUAAGGUCCCGGAAUUCUGUCUAAGUUAGUCUAACGAAGUGGGGUCUCAGUGACAGCCAGGAUGUUGGCUUGGAAGCAGCCAUUCAUUCAAAGAGUGCGUAACAGCUCACUGGUCGAGAGUCCCUGCAUGGAUAAUAAUCGGGUAUAAGACAGAUACCGAAGGCGCGGGAUAGCAGAGAAAUGAAAAGUAUCGGUAGGGGAGCAUUCCAUAUCCGUCGAAUGGUGCGGGUAACUGAUCCUGGAGGAUAUGGAAAAGCAAAUGUAGGUAUAAGUAACGAUAAGGAGGGUAAGAUUCCCUCCCGCCGCAAGACUAAGGUUUCCCGGGCAAUGUCAAUCAUCCCGGGGUCAGUCGGGUCCUAAGUCUCAGCCGAACGGCGAGGGCGAUGGCAGACACGGUCAACAUUCCGUGACUACCUUUAUGAGCGAUGCGGAGACGGAGCAGUGACACUUCCGCGAACCGACGGAAUGGUUCGUUGAAGAGUGUAGACGUUGAUCACGGUAGGCAAAUCCGCCGUGAGAGUCGAACUUGAAAGUACAGGGUCCUCUUCGGAGGAACUUGAUAGCGAAGGUAAGCAUACUCCCGAGAAAAUCCGCUAAGCAAUCCUAAAGGUACCCGUACCGCAAACGGACACACGUAGUCGGGUAGAACAUACUAAGGCGUUGAGAGAUUCAUGGUUAAGGAACUAGGCAAACUGACCCCGUAACUUCGGGAUAAGGGGUCCUCGUGAUGAGCGAGGCGCAGAGAAUAGGUCCAGGCAACUGUUUAACAAAAACACAGGGCUGUGCGAACUCGAAAGAUGAAGUAUACAGCCUGACACCUGCCCGGUGCCGGAAGGUUAAGAGGAGAUGUCAACCUUUAUGGCGAAGCAUUGAAUUGAAGCCCCGGUAAACGGCGGCCGUAACUAUAACGGUCCUAAGGUAGCGAAAUUCCUUGUCGGGUAAGUUCCGACCUGCACGAAUGG
rnacentral:rRNA from 1 species